AUGGAGCGGCAGACGGUGUCGACGUCCUCCGCGUCCUGCUCCCCCUCCGCCGCCUCCUCAUCCUCUUCCUCGUCAUGCGGCGGACGGAAGCGGCCCGACAUACUCAACAUGAUCCGGAGUGCAGCAUGUCUGAAUUCAUCAUCUACUGAUACUGGCAAGGGGCGGAGUAAGCAAUCAAGCACCAAGGUGACACACGGAUUCCACCUGGUUGAAGGGAAAUCUGGCCAUGACAUGGAGGACUACCAUGUAGCAGAGUACAAGUGCGAUAAGAACCAUGAGCUUGGCCUCUUUGCCAUUUUCGACGGCCAUCUGGGGGACCGUGUGCCCAGUUACUUGAGAGCUAACCUUUUCUCCAACAUACUCAAAGAGCCUCUCUUCUGGACUGACCCUCAGGAAGCGAUUAAAAAUGCAUAUGGCUCUACAAACAAAUAUAUUCUGGAAAAUGCCAAGCAACUUGGGCCAGGCGGUUCAACAGCAGUUACUGCUAUUGUAGUUGAUGGCAAGGAUAUGUGGAUAGCAAACGUAGGCGACUCGAGGGCCGUUUUAUGUGAACGGGGUGCUGCUAAUCAGAUCACCGUGGACCAUGAACCCCAUAUAUCCAAUGAAAGGCAGAGGAUUGAACAGCAGGGUGGCUUUGUCACAACAUUUCCUGGCGAUGUCCCUCGCGUAAAUGGCCAACUCGCUGUCGCAAGGGCGUUCGGUGACCAUAGCCUCAAGACGCACUUGAGUUCGGAACCUGACAUUAGGCAUGUACCCAUAAACUCAAGUAUAGAGUUCGUCAUACUUGCCAGCGAUGGAUUAUGGAAGGGUGAUUCAUCUGUAUUUAGCAGCUCUGUUAUGUUCACAAACCAGUUCCUAAACCUGCACCUCUUUGCUGAAUUAAUCCAGGUGAUGAAGAACCAGGAAGCUGUGGACCUCGUGAAGUCGACAAAGGACCCCCAGGCAGCAGCAAAGCGGCUGACGACCGAGGCGCUCGCGAGGAAGAGCAAGGACGACAUCUCCUGCAUCGUCAUCCGCUUCCGCUGCUGA
rnacentral:rRNA from 1 species